rnacentral:rRNA from 1 species
UACGGGGGGUGCGAGCGUUGUCCGGAAUCACUGGGCGUAAAGGGCUCGUAGGCGGUUUGUCGCGUCGGGAGUGAAAUCCACUGGCUUAACUGGUGGCUUGCUUUCGAUACGGGCAGACUGGAGGUAUGCAGGGGAGAACGGAAUUCCUGGUGUAGCGGUGAAAUGCGCAGAUAUCAGGAGGAACACCGGUGGCGAAGGCGGUUCUCUGGGCAUGUCCUGACGCUGAGGAGCGAAAGUGUGGGGAGCGAACAGG